UGUAACAGCAACUCCAUGUGGAUUAUGCUGAUUUCCAGUGGAGAGGCUGUUACUUU
rnacentral:pre_miRNA from 1 species